UAUCAAUUUUUAUUUUAUCACUUAAUACAUUUUCAUUAAUAAUUAGAGAGUUGCACACAGUAUGUCUUCGUCAUCCUAUCCUCCCUCCUACUGUCUAAUUUCUCAGACAACUCAUAAUUUUUUGGCUACCUGUUUUAUAUUUUUCCCCCUUUCCUGACAUCUCUGAGCCUUAGAAGUUGGGGUUGUAUUCUAAAUGUGUUAACUGGAGUUGAGGACUCCAUGAUCAGUAGAACUCUGCAUUUUGACCUGUUGUUGUUUUCGGUAAAAUUCCCAGUUUCCUGAAUGAAGAAACUUCCUGGAUGAGAAGUGAGAGCUGCCCUUAUCUCUGGAUAUAAGGGCAUUGUUACUGGAUAGGACUGUUCUCCCUUGGCUGCUUGAAUUACUCCUGCUGAAGUGUUGAGAGCUAGUCUUUAGUGAGGAGGCCUCUGGAUCCGAUUCCAAUCAAUUCCUCCGAAUCUUGCCUCUGAAGUGUUAAGUGUCUUUAGCAGUGGGGUCUUAGCUUCUUCUGGAGGCACCCAAAGUAAAAACAAGACUGCACUCCACAGUCUGCCGACUGACAGAGAGAAGAGGAAAGGAUGUUGUUUCUGAGAAGUUUGAAAUUGCAUGGUCUUCUGAUACCCUUGUAAGUUUCAAUGUCAAAUUUCAGGACACCUGUUAAGGUAGUUUCCAUUUUCUACCUGUGGCUGAACUAAACAAAUGCAGGAGUCCACUUCUUAGGCUACAGAUUAUAAUAUAGACUGAAUCUGUGGUUUUAUUACUUUUCUCUUUUCUUCUAUGAUGUUGUUCCCAUGGAUUAAACUCAGAUCCUCAAGCUUGGUGGAAAGCUCCUUUACCCUCAUAACCAUGCACAACUUCCUUCUUUCCAUCUUAAUAUAUUUUUGAAGUAUGUUAUUAGCACUGAAUCUUGAACACGAGGUUUCACGUGAACUGUGCAACAAUACUAUAAAUUCAUUGCAGUGUUUCCAACUCUGAAUUUUCUCCACAUUAUGAGUGUUACAGUCAAUUUGAACUUUGAUUUGGUCAGAAUGUCCUCUUUGUAAUGUUUCCUUCAAGACUUAAAAAUUAGAAAGAAUCUUGGAUUAUGAACCAUCUCUCCAGUGGCUGUUAUUCCUCCUUACCAAUAUCAUUAAUGGCUAUACUAGUGUCAAACCAACAUAGAAGUAGAAAAAGAACAUCUAAGUUACUACAACUGUGAUCCAUACACUGGUCUCAUGCUCAUUAAAUACUGAAUAAUUUUCAGUAUUUCAGAUUGUAGCUACUUAAUGUAUAGAGAGAAUUAAAAAUGCCAUUUUCCCUUAGAAUAAAAAAAAUUGUGUGUGUGUGUGUGUGUGUGUGUGUGUGUGUGUGUGUGUGUGUGUGUAUGCAUUCACAGGGGUGCAUGUGUGUAACAGGCAAACUGAGUACAGUAACUUAGUUCAUGUCUAAACCAAAGUUUUAAAAUAUC